CUCUGGGUAGCUCAGUUGGAAGAGCGUCAGACUGUAAUGGAUAUCUUGUUCAUCUGAAUGUCACUGGUUCGAUCCCGGUCCCGGAGA